rnacentral:lncRNA from 1 species
GAGUUACUUACCUCAAACCGUGUAAUCCUUUUCUCCGCUAUGCCUUUGCCAUGCAAAUUUGCCUCUGAAAGCCUCGUAUCUAGUCACAAUUAAUUCGUUUAAGUCAAUACAACUUACAAGAAUUAAUUCCAUAUCAAAAUACUAAUAUUUUUCCACAAAAUUCGAAAUUACACUCCAAAAAUUGCCUGUGGGGCCCAUGUCUCAGAAUACGAUGAAAUCACAAAAUACAAUAAUCCAUUCAAUUACGAGUCCAACCAUACUAGUUUCACUCAAAUCUGACUUCGAAUCGACAUUCAAAUCUAAAAAAUUCAUUUUAUGAAAUUUCUACAAUUUUCCUCAAAUUUUCAUCUCAAACUACUAAUUGAAUGAUGAAAGUGAUGAUAUAUUCAUGUAUAUUAAUCAAAUCUGAGUUAGAAUCACUUACUCUGAUGAAUUUUUUGAAAAACUCACGAAAAAUCGUCACAAAUCGAGCUCCCAAAGUCCAAAUGUGAAAUAAUACCCAAACCCUCGAUUUUAUAAUACACAAUCUGACCUCUCAUUGUGCUGACCGCACAAUAUUUGUGCGGUCCGCACAUUCCAGGUUCUGCGGUCGCACUCCAAAUUAUGCGGCCGCACUUCAACACUCUGCACUACCAGGUUUCAGUAAAAUGCCCAUAACUUUCUGUACAUAUAUCCAGAUGAUUAAUGCUAUACCUUUCUGGAUACUAGAUUCAAAGGAAUACAACUUUCAUUUUUGAAUCAUAUCCAAAUUCAUUGUGAAAUAAAAUAUAUAAGCCUCCGAAGUAAGACCAUCGAACCUGCAGAACCCCUUAAGUGCGGCCGCAGACAAAAUUGUGCGGUCCGUAUUUUUCCUCUGCGGUCCGCACAUUUUCAUCUGCUGCAGCACUUUUUUAUCUGCUACAACACUCAAAAAUGUGCCUCAGCACACAAAAUUAUGUGGUCCGCACUUCUAACAUUCCAGAACAACAUCAAAGUGUCGAAAUGCCCGGACUCGCUCAAAACUCACCCUGAAACUCACCGAGCCACUCGGGAUCCUGUUCAGAUAUACCAACAAGUUUCAUAACAUUACACGGACCUACUCGAGGUCUCAAAUCGCAUCAAACAAUAUCAAAACGUCGAAUCGCACCUCAAAUCAAAAUCUAUGAACUUUGAACUUUCAAAUUCUAUAUCUUGUGCCGAAACACAUCAAAUCAAUUCAGAAUGACUUCAAAUUUUGCACACAAGUCAUAAAUAUCAUAACAGAGCUAUGAAAAGUUUCAUAAUUGAAUUCCGAUCCCGAUACCAAAAAGUCAACUACCCGGUCAAACUUUCCGAAAAUUCAAUUUUCGCCAUUUCAAGCCAAUUCCGCUACGGACUUCCAAAUAAUUUUUCGAACACGCUCCUAAGUCCAAAAUCACCAUACGUAGCUAUUGAAAUUAUCAAAACUCUAUUUCGGGGUCGUUUAGACAUAAGUCAAUAUCCGGUCACUAUUUUAACUUGAGCUUUACACCUUGGAACUAAAUGUUCCAAUUCAUUCCAAAACAUCAAUGGACCCGAACCAAUUAACUCGGUAAGUCAUAAAAUAAUUGUAAACAUAAAUUGAGUAGUAAAUGAGAAAAUGGGAUUGUAAUACUCAAAACGACCGGUCGAGUCGUUACAACUAGUUGCCUAGCAUUUAAUAUUAUUAAAAAUAGAGAAAUAUGGGUGAUUAAAUUAUUUAAAUACUUUAGUUAUUAAAAAAAUCUUAUUGUUAUUGGAGUUGGUAAAAAGAAAUAGCAUUUGAAAGCUUGGAUCAUUUCUUGCUUAUAGGUUUUUCAAGGCAUUAGGCCACCUACUCUAAUUAAUUAUUAAAGGUAAUUUUAAUUAUUUAAAGGAAAAAUUCGACUUUUAUUUAAGGGGGAGAAGGGGACAACUUUAUUUUAUUGUUAUUUGGAGCCCUUGGGUUUAGUUAAUUGGUCCGUAUUGGUUUAGCCGUCUAACUUGUUUCAAUAUAUCUUCUAACCAAUUAAUUGUCUAACUAGAAUUAAGCCCAACUUAUUUUAUUAACAAAAAGUCAUAUUGCUCAACAAUACACUGCAUUUAACUAAUUUCAACAUGCUACAAACAAAUUAAAAGUAGUAGAAUAUUUAAAAGCAACAAACCAAAGAUACACAAACCGAGAAUGACAAAAUAUUUUCUUAACGAGAAAUGAAAUGAAGCAGGAUUAUUGUUGAAACACUUAAGAAAUAGACAACAACAAUGUUUCCAAAUAAACUUGAAAAUUAACCAUGAACAAAAAUAUUACAUUAAUACUAAUAAAAACUCAACUGCUAAUAUACCUCAAAAACAUAUAAUUUCAAUCUACUUAGAGAUUUUCUUUUCUAAACAAAAACUAAUGCAAACCUUUAUCACAUAUUCACUACAUGUAGGAAUUUUUUUUUUUUAUAUUCUAAAAUUCAAUCACAAAAGAAAGCUUAGAUAAGUUCAUCUCAUGAUUUAUGUUUACAGUAAAACAAUACUAGAAUAAAGAGAGAUAACUAAACUUAGAGGGAGGAGAGUAGACAACACAUGUUGUUACCCACAUAUGAGCAUGCACAUAGGAAUAAAAUGGACCAUCAUUCAUAAACAGAGACAAAAGAGUAUAAAAAUAGUAGAUAGCUUGGAUAAGUACCUGAACUUCAUCAUUCCAAGAUUAUUCGGAGAACUACAUGGUUAAUGAGAAAUACCUAGAUUGCAGAAGAAUCAGACAACAGCAGCAUGGUAUAGAAAAACAACAACUCAACCCAGCCAAAACUAACCAGCAACAACAGCAAAUGAACCAGUAAAAUCAAACAGAUUCACCUCCAAAAACUUGCAGAACCAAAAUCAGAAACUAAAGAAGAAGACUACAGAAAAUAUUUUUUUCUUUUGCGUUCUUUCAUUUUUCUGGAAUAUUUCUCAAAGAAGGAAGAUUGUAGAGAGUUUUUAAGUUACUCCAGUUGCUCUCAAGUUGUGUUUCCUUUUCCUUAAAUAAGGAUCUCCAUUCUAAGUGUAAGAGAGUCCCCUUAAUAGGAGAAGAGCAGCCCUUUAAAUAGGCAAAUAAAAUCAGAUUUUUUGGACAGAUUUUGGUUCACCAAAAGUCUGUCCAAAAGACUGACUUUGUGUGCUAAACACUGUUCAAAAUCUGUCCAAAAGGUAAAAGGACAGCCUGAAAAUCUGCUAUGUCAGAAGCAAUGAGAAAAAAUAUCAUUUCAGCCACUCUACUAGUAAAAAGUAGGCUAUUAUUUCCCUAUUUUGUGAUAAAAUAACCUAAACUUCAGAUUUUAACCAUCAACACUAAAUUACUUGCUCAAAAUAAAUCAAACUUAAACAACUAUGGAUUGUCAAAACAUAAAUAACUUUCAUUGUAACUAAUACUCGAACUAACUAGGCUAAAUCAAUUUUAUUUGUGCAAACUAAAUAUAGAACAAACAACUAAAUUCAUAAGCUAAUGCUCAAAUCAAGAAUUAGACAAGCAUUGUUAAUAAACGACGACGACGUUCAAUAACUAAACAAUCAACUAACUAAGUGAAUGAUUUAACUAAUACACUAAAGAUCACGUUUAAUCAAUAACAGCCUAACAGACAACUAAACUAAAUAGAGGUAACUAAUUAAAUAAACCUAACUUGAAACUUUAAUUAUCAGUAGUUGAUCACAAUAAACGAAUCAAAACAGAACCUAAAAUGAGAACAUAGAAACUAGACAACAAAGAAAGAAAGAAAAAAGAGAAAAAAGAAAAGGUUAAGGGCUAUACCAAAUGAUCCAAAACGGUUGCCCUCAAACUCAAAGACGAUGCAAACCGCGGUAAAUCGACUCCCAAAGUUCUAGUUUCUCAAUGACUUUUGCUGAAAAAAGAAAUUUCGGCAUACCGAAAUUGAUUCCAAUUCCAUACAAGGGGAAAACGGAGCUGUGGGGUCGUGUGGGUGGUGAGGUAGUGAUGGUGGUCGUGCGGCGUGAGGCAGCAAUGGGGUGGAUGACCAGUGUUCGGCCAUUGUUCGGAGGGGUUUGAAGGUUUUGGGGCAUGGAAUGGAGAAGUGGAGAGUGAGAGGAGGCCGGUGGUGUAAAUAUUCGGAGUUUGGGGGUGGUGAGCAGCGGCUUGGGUUUCAGUUAGGCUUAGAUUUACGGAGAUUGAGAUGGGUUAUGGGGAUUUGGGGUUCAGAUUCAUGGAGAGGAGGUUGAGCGGAAGAAGUGGUGAAAUUUUGGGGAGGUUUGGAGGUGUGCCGCCGCCGUGAGGUGAUUUCCGGCCGGCGGAGAUGGGUGGCAGCACAGAGAAAGGGUGAGAGAGAGAAGAGAGGGAGAAGAAAGAAGAAAAUAGGGGAAAUGGG